GAGUGGUGUUUGCAGCCACAAGCGCCAUUGAUAAAUGGAUCCUUACCUUGUUCAGAGUCCCACUCGUAACUGGAAUUCUGCUGUUUUCUGCAGGAUUACUGUCUAACCUUCUGUACAAAUAUCCACGAUUGCUGAAUCUCUGUUUUGUGAUCAACAUUGGCUGUUUACUUGUGGCGACAGUUGGAGCCGCACUGAUAGGCUCUGAUCUCGCCAAGUAUCAGAGUACU